CCAUAUGGGUCAUUCCAUCGGGUUGGGUCUUUUCAGCAUUUUCACGUGUUUGAAUGUUUAGAAGCUAUUUACUCAAAUUUGAAUGCAUAUUUAGAAAAAUAAAAGUAUGUUAUAUUGAAGAGUAAUGUAGUACAGAAUAAAUAAACAUGAAAACAGAAACUUCUUCAUCAUAUUUUUGUUUUGGUGAGAGUUUUACUACCGAUGUCUCAGCGAUUUUGAGGGUGAAAGUUGUGACAUGAAAACAUGUCAUUUUCAUGAACUUAUUUCUGGAAAAAAGUUCAUCAUAAUGCAAUAUUUUCUACUUAAAACAUGUCACCUUUAGUACCCCUACCAUGUAUGAGAAGCUCAAGUGAAAUGUGCAAAAAAUCGGCAAGUUAUUCCAUAUUGAAAAAACACAAUACCUACGUUACCAACGAUGUCCUAGGCACUUUUUUCGUAACGGCGGUAAUUCUAGCAUUUUACACAAAUUUAGCAGGAUAUUUUCUGAGAAAGUUUCAUCUUAUUAGGAAGGUACAACCCCUCAUGAACAUAUGUAGAAAGAAUGAUGAUUAAAUCGGUCGGUAAAUAUAAGAAAACAAUUAAUUUACCGCGAAAAUUGGGCGCGAUGUCCUUCGUAAUUUGGUAACGUAGGUGUGAAAUUACGGUGUUUGAGAUAUAAACCAGCCCGCUAGCUUCAGUUUUUGGUGUUAAAAUGACCUGCUAGUUAUUCACGAAUGCGCAGAACAUGUUUUUUGCCGGACUGCGACGACCUACCCCUACAGUGCAACUACAAACGUGAAGAUGUCUUUGUAACGUGGUGCAGCCAUUUUCGCCCGUCAGCGCCCAAAUUGAUUGCUGCAUCCAUUUCAUUCAUGGCUCCUCUACCUCCCUUGAGGAUUCAGCUCCGGCAGAGAGAGAUCAAGAGAGCAGGCAAAAUGACCAGUCAUCGAAACCUUCCUGGAAAACAAAGAUCUUUCCAAUCUAAUCACUAUUUUGAAGAAGAUAUAAAGUUGAUCAUUGAUAUCUAUCAAUAUACCUCUUGUAUGAAUACUGUUUUUUAAUUUACUGAUCAAGGGAUAAAAUAUAUUUCAGAUGACAUUUGAUGUAGUCUGUCAUUUUUCAAUGAGUAUAAGAGGAUAGUUACUCUAAUAUCAUACCGAUGUUACUCGGACAUGAUGUCCGUGUAACAUUGGUAACUGGAGGUGUUGAGGUGAAUAUAGACCAUAAAUCUUGCAGGUUUCCUUUCAAUUGUGUUAUCAUUUCAUUAAAUAUGUUUCAUGCAUCAAUUAAUUGGCACAUUUCAUGGAAUGUAGCCAAGAUUUUCUAUGCGAGAGAAAAGAUUACCCUUUAGAAAAAAACAUGAUCUGAAGAUUGCUAGUUCCUCAUUUGUUUCAUGUUUAUAAAUUGAAAUAAUGUUGCUGUGUUCAAGUUUUAAGUAUUCUAAACUAUUGCUCCCAUCAUCUAAAUGUUUUCCACACACAAAAAAUUGGAGUACAGACUGUGACAAAGUUUCAGAUCAGAAAAUAAAUGAGCAAGUAAAAAAAGAUGUCCUUGUAACGUUGGUUUUUUGGUGUGUCUGUUUUUUCAUUUUAAAUGAAA
rnacentral:lncRNA from 1 species